UGGCAGAGGAGGAGGAGGCGGCGGUAGAGGAGGAGGAGAGGAGGGGGUGAGCGGAGGAGGGCAGUGAGCAGGGGUGGAAAUGGGAACCGGAGCGAGAAGCGGGAUGGAGGGGGGUUGGAAACCAGAGACCCAAAGAGGUUUUCCCAGCCCCUGGAAAAGUGAACAAGAAAUAUGCUCCUCCAAGAAGUAGUUGCAGUUGGAAGCAUACCACAGAAGAAAUGGAACUCACCUAACCAAGAGACCUAACAAUGCAAAUGGAAAGAAAGAUUCUCUCUUUUAUAUUAUGCUAGAUGAAAGAGAUGGACAAGGCACACUUUAAAAGACCACAAUACAGAGGCAGGAGGUGGGACUAAAUAGAGUACCUAUUCAAGUUGUACAUGGAACCAUAGUCACUUGCAUGAUCUACUGUAAAGUUUUACAGCAAGAAUGAUGAUGGACAUGUGUAACAAAAUAAGAAACAGACAUAAUUAAACAACCCCCUAUCACAGAUAUUAUAAAAUCACAAUAUAUUGGAAAUAGUAUAACCCUGAUCAAAAAGCAAUGCGAUACAGUUGGAGCAAUCUACAGUUUAUAAAAUAGGGUUCAAAGCCCACCCAGUGAAAUGCAAAGAAUAGCAAACUACUGAAACUGGUAAAGUAUUCACAAAAUAAAUGGGUAUAUGUAAAGAUAAAUAGAUAUUUUUCCCCAUGAUGCAUUGGGGGAAAGACCAUACUAACUAGAUAGACUUGAAAGCAACAAGUUUGCACAAGCUAUGAGAGAACAGGAAAAUUAAACUCAUUUACUGAUAAAGUGCACAAGCGUAGACAUACUGUAUAUGAAAGAAAAGCUAUAUUAGAAGCAGAAGAAAGUUUUAAUUGAUGCAUGAAAAUAUGUACCGAAUUGGAGAAACAGUACUUCAGGGUAACAACUUGAAAAAAAAAAUUGUAUUAAAAGAGGCAGAGAAGCUGUAAAACUUAGAGUUAUUUUUUUAAUGUAGGCAACAGGGAGCUAAUAUUAAUCAUAACAUACAAAAUGCAAACUACAACAAUAUAAUUUCUGAACAAAGAAAAUACAAAUCAAUAAAUGCUGUGAAGAGUAAAGGUAUCACCACAUAUACAUUACUAUAACAAAAGCAAAGCAUCAAAAGUAGGCAAAGAAACACAAGCUGACAUCUACUGAAAUAAGCACAAGCAACAUACAGGGCACACAGGAAAAGAAAAUGGUAAUAGGGUGAAAUACAUAAAAUAUUUAUCAUAUUCAGCAAUGCACAAAAUAGAUUAUAAUCACAGAAGCAAAGAAAUAGCAAUGCUUGAAAAUGAAUAUAUUAUAUAAUAUUCAAAGAUGUGAAAGUGGAAUACUUGUGAAACACAGUUGUACACAUUGUGUUUCAUAAGGUUAUUAAAAUUAUUACUGAAAGUGCAUACUAGGAAAAAAAAAGGAAAAUAAGAAUCAUUCUUUACAAAGAAAAAAGAAAAUGUGGAUGACACUUUCUAUAACAGAUGAUCAAGGGAUAACUAUCUUGCAGGUUGUUUAUUUAGAAACUGAUCUUUUUCCACCAGAUAGUUUGAAUUUUAUUUAGUCAUUGAAAGAUGGAAUCUUUACCCAAAACAUUCCAACAUUGAAAAAUCUGAUUUAAAUAGUUGAACCUAAACUUUGUGGAAAUAGUGGAGAACGACUACACUGGAUCAGUUCUCACCUUUUCAGAAUGGCCUUUGUAGCGCUAAAGUUUAGAAGAUGAAAAAAGACUGACCACUGGAGUACACUAAAGAAAAGAGGAAGAUGCUGAAAAAUGAGAAGCUGGAAGCAAAGAGGAAAGCCAGCAUCAUAUGAUCUGCCAGAUCUUCUACCUCGCAAGCAAGUGUUCCACAGGUCACCAGUAGCCCUCAGGUCACAGUUUGAAAGGCUCUGGUUUAAGUUCAUUAUAAUUUUGUAGGUAUAUAGAUGUGGAAUUUCCCUGUGCCAUACCUGAGGGAUGUGCAGUUUCAAAUCUGGGUAGAACCAGUUGAGUUGUUUUGACUGAAGUCAUGAAAAUUCUGGAUUGAAGAUCUGAAUCUAUAAUCUUAAAAAGAAGGUUGGCAAGCAAGAGCCUGCAUAACUUCAUCUACUGUUACGGAGAUCUGUACACCCUGAUGGAGGGCUUGUAGAACCAUUAAAAAGUCAACAUUUGCCAACUGGAAGAGUCAGCUGCCAUGGAUAACACCGCAGGGAAAAGGAGGAAUGCACUGCUUCCAGAAGAAAAAAACAACAACAACAACGACACAGGCUUUUUGGACACUUCCCUCUAUGUUCUUGUUUUACUUAGAUUACUGUUUUUCCAGGGGAAAGAGGAAUUCCUUGGAGUCAGUUGUUUUUUUUUCAUUAGUUGUUUGUAUGCAGGAGUGGGUACAACUGUAGACAAUGAUUUUAUUUUUGUUAUAGAGCUUUAUAAUGUAUGUGGGCUAUCCAUUU